GACGAACGCUGGCGGCGUGCCUAACACAUGCAAGUCGAACGCGUCUCGCCAAAGCGGCGGUCUUCGGACCAAAGCGGCGGCAUUUAGACGAGUGGCGGACGGCUGAGUAACGCGUGAGAAAUCUGCCCUUAGGUGGGGAACAACUCUCCGAAAGGAGAGCUAAUACCGCAUAAUACAUUGAGGUGGCAUCACCCCAAUGUCAAAGAUUUAUCGCCUUUGGAUGAUCUCGCGUCUGAUUAGCUUGUUGGUGAGGUAAUGGCUCACCAAGGCGACGAUCAGUAGCCGAACUGAGAGGUUGAUCGGCCAGAUUGGGACUGAGACACGGCCCAGACUCCUACGGGAGGCAGCAGUGGGGGAUAUUGCGCAAUGGGGGAAACCCUGACGCAGCAACGCCGCGUGAAUGAUGACGGUCUUCGGAUUGUAAAGUUCUUUAAGUUGGGAAGAAAUCAAUGACGGUACCAACAGAAUAAGCACCGGCUAACUCUGUGCCAGCAGCCGCGGUAAUACAGAGGGUGCAAGCGUUGUCCGGAUUUACUGGGUGUAAAGGGUGUCUAGGCGGGAAGGCAGGUCUGAUGUGAAAUCUUGGGGCUCAACCCCAAAACUGCAUUGGAAACCUCCUUUCUUGAAUAAUGGAGAGGUAAGUGGAAUUCCUAGUGUAGCGGUGAAAUGCGUAGAUAUUAGGAGGAACACCAGUGGCGAAGGCGGCUUACUGGCCAUUUAUUGACGCUGAAGCACGAAAGCGUGGGUAGCAAACAGGAUUAGAUACCCUGGUAGUCCACGCCGUAAACGAUGAUUACUAGGUGUAGGAGGUAUCGACCCCUUCUGUGCCGCAGCUAACGCAUUAAGUAAUCCACCUGGGGAGUACGGCCGCAAGGUUGAAACUCAAAGGAAUUGACGGGGGCCCGCACAAGCAGUGGAGUAUGUGGUUUAAUUCGAAGCAACGCGAAGAACCUUACCAGGGCUUGACAUCCUCAGAACCUUUGCGAGAGCAGAGGGUGCCUUCGGGAACUGAGUGACAGGUGGUGCAUGGUUGUCGUCAGCUCGUGUCGUGAGAUGUUGGGUUAAGUCCCGCAACGAGCGCAACCCUUAUUACUAGUUGCUAACAUUUAGUUGAGCACUCUAGUGAGACUGCCGUUGACAAAACGGAGGAAGGUGGGGACGACGUCAAAUCAUCAUGCCCCUUAUGUCCUGGGCUACACACGUACUACAAUGGCCGUUAACAAUGGGAAGCGAAUGCGCGAGCUGGAGCAAAUCCCCAAAAACGGUCCCAGUUCGGAUUGCAGGCUGAAACUCGCCUGUAUGAAGUUGGAAUUGCUAGUAAUCGCGAAUCAGAAUGUCGCGGUGAAUACGUUCCCGGGC
rnacentral:rRNA from 1 species